rnacentral:ncRNA from 2 species
CGUCAAUGACAGGGGAGCGCACCUAGCGCUGAGAGUGCGGGCAACCGCAGACCCUCACACCUGAUCCGGUUCGCACCGGCGUAGGGAGUCUGAGUUCUCAGGUG